rnacentral:rRNA from 1 species
GAAUUGACGGGGGCCCGCACAAGCGGUGGAGCAUGUGGUUUAAUUCGAAGCAACGCGAAGAACCUUACCAGGUCUUGACAUCACCUAGCAAGCCAUGGAAACAUGGCCCUCCUUCGGGACUGGGUGACAGGUGGUGCAUGGUUGUCGUCAGCUCGUGUCGUGAGAUGUUGGGUUAAGUCCCGCAACGAGCGCAACCCUUGCCUUUAGUUGCCAGCAUUAAGUUGGGGACUCUAAAGGGACUGCCGGCGACAAGUCGGAGGAAGGUGGGGAUGACGUCAAAUCAUCAUGCCCCUUAUGAUCUGGGCUACACACGUGCUACAAUGGGUGGUACAGAGGGAAGCGAAGCUGUGAGGCGGAGCGAAUCCCAGAAAGCCACUCUCAGUUCGGAUUGCAGGCUGCAACUCGCCUGCAUGAAGUCGGAAUUGCUAGUAAUGGCAGGUCAGCAUACUGCCGUGAAUACGUUCCCGGGCCUUGUACACACCG